rnacentral:rRNA from 1 species
CCUACGGGGGGCAGCAGUAGGGAAUAUUGGACAAUGGUGAAAAGCUGAUCCAGCCAUCCCGCGUGAAGGUAGAAGGUCUAUGGAUUGUAAACUUCUUUUCUCUGGGAAGCGGUACCAGAGGAAUAAGCACCGGCUAACUCCGUGCCAGCAGCCGCGGUAAUACGGAGGGUGCAAGCGUUAUCCGGAUUCACUGGGUUUAAAGGGUGCGUAGGCGGGCUUGUAAGUCAGUGGUGAAAGCCCGGAGCUUAACUCCGGAACUGCCAUUGAUACUGCAAGUCUUGAGUACACUUGAGGUGGGCGGAAUACAUCAUGUAGUGGUGAAAUACUUAGAUAUGAUGUAGAACACCGAUUGCGAAGGCAGCUCACUAAAUUGUACUGACGCUGAGGCACGAAAGCGUGGGGAUCAAACAGGAUUAGAUACCCUUGUAGUC